rnacentral:lncRNA from 1 species
AACAAGUAAAGGCUAUAAAUGGGAUCUUGAAAAAAAAAAUUCUCUUUUAAGAUUGUGAAUUCGAGAAGCUUUGGUUGAGUGAUCUUGUUGAUAAUAAUCUGGCUUUAGUUAUUUAAUUUUCAUUACUUCAUCGUUUACUCCUUGCAGGUUGCAGUAAGAAAAGUUUGAUAAAGGAUUUUUCAAAGCAACUAAGAGAAAUUAGGUUCCAAAAAACAUUAUCCGGGUUUAAAACCCGGAAUCCGGGAACUCGGAUUUUUUCGGGUUUAACCCGUACCGGACCCGCACUCAAAAUAUCCGGGUUUUUAGCCGGGUCCGGUAAGACGAAUUCUCAUCC